UUGCUGGAAGAAGAGGUUGGUUUUUUUUUUUUUUUAAAUUCACUUUUCAGUACUGAGGGACCCGGUCAGCAAGAGCAACCAACUCGACGUGUUAGGAAAUUUAGGAAAUGACAGUGCUUUGGGAAUUACGAUGGGGGCCUGGAGACAAAGGUGAGCUCUGGAUAUGGAAGGCGGAUCAACCAGACGUGGGCAUCUAACUUUGAAAGGUGGAUGAUUGUAAUGUGCAGGGUAAAAAGGGCUGGUUAGGCCUAGCUAAGAGCAAGAAUGCUGUACUGAAGAAAGGGGUUAAACUCACAGAUUGCUGAAUGCGAGGACCCUGGUCCCCUUCCUCAUAAACCGUGGCAGUGACACCUUUAUUCUCUAGGCAGUAGAUUACUAUAAAAACUCUUCUCUAGGGCAACUGACCAGCCUCGGGGACAAACCCUCAAGUAACCCCAACUCUUGUUGGGGUCAGGAGUUCCCCAACAAACAGCCCAAGCAUGAAACUCAAAGCUGUGGGGAGUCUCUUGGCAGUGUUUUCAUCCCCAGCCUUAAACACAAGCAAACACCCCAGGAUUAUGUGGGCAAAACCUUUGACAUGAAAGACAGAAACCAGUGGGACCCUCUUCCCUCCUAAUAAAGAAAAUCUGGAGGAAACAGAGAUUUUGUAAGAAGAAAACUUCAAAAAAUAAAUAUCCUUAAUAUGCUCAGAAUGAAAGAAUAUAGAUUUCUGCAUGAAAAAAGACAAGAUGCCAUGAAAAAGGAACAGUACUAGAAAUUUUAAAUCUCUUAAGAUUAAAAACCAUGAUAACUGACAUAGAAAACUCAGUAGUAGAGCUGAAAGAUAGGGUGAGUCUUCCAGAAAACAGAAAAAGAGAGAGAGAGAGAGAGAGAGAGAGAGAU